rnacentral:lncRNA from 1 species
UGGGAGCUGUCAUAGUAUCUUGAUCAUGGAAGAAUUGCAUUACAUUUAUUCUUGAUGUUGACAAGAAACAAAAUCUGCGGAGUACAUAUAUAUUAUUCUUCUACCAGUCCGGAUCUUAAUAACUACUUGCUCAAAGAAAAUUACUUUUGUCCCUGAUACAUAUACUUAUUCGUACCUGGAUCACGAUAAUAAAUAAACCCAAUUAUCAACAUUAAGUAUCGUUUCGAUAGUAAUUUCUUUGUUAGUUUUCUUAACACAUUUUGAUGAACUUCACAGAUUGUUACCUUAUUUGGCUUCCCAUAUGACCUUAAAACUUCCAAAGCUCUAAGGAAUAUCUGGUCAAUGUUCCCACCCAAUCUUCUUGCUCUAGCCGUGAGACAGCUUGCAGAUGCGACUAGUACUCCAGAAGAUACUGGAAUUACAUGGAACAGGAGGACAGAUUGUGUAACACGUCAAGAUUCCUCAACCUGUGCAAUGACAAUUGUAAGUCAAUGCCUAAACUUUUUACAAGAAAGGAACAUAUAUUUGAAGCUCAUACCAUGACAAAGUCAAGUUAUUGUUCGUUCUUCCUGUUGUAGAUAAUUUACUUGACCAUUUAAUAGAAAGCUACCUGGCUCCAUCUGCUCUCUACAGAAUAAGGUCUACGCAUGGCUCCUAGGGACAUUUGGUGUCUGGAUCCUCUUGGCAAUCUACUUUGACAAUAUAUUCCCAAAUGCGUAUGGUGUGAGAAAACCUUUAUUUUACUUCCUAAACCCUGGGUACUGGACUGGGAAAGGUGGAAACAAUGUGAAAGGUAACUACAAUAGCUUCCAGUUGUUGCUCAUAGGCUUUCAUGUUGGCGAACUUCCAACUGUGCUGUUUCAUCUAUCCAGAGGGUGGCAUCUGUAGCUGCCAGGGUUCAAUACCACAAGAGGAACAUAUCUCUCCAGAUGAUGAAGAUGUUCUCGAAGAGGAAACAAUGGUUAAGAAAGACGCAACAGGAGGCACAAUGGACGCAGAUGUUGCAGUUCAGAUGCGUGGACUUGCAAAGACAUAUGCUGGAACCAGGAAAAUCGGUUGCUGUAAAUGUCAGAAAACCUCACCUUAUCAUGCCGUUAGGGUAAGACCUUUUAACUCUUACGAACCAACAAAGGUUGAGAAGGUGUAUGCAUCAGUGUCUUUCAAUAUAAUAUAUUUCACCACUGUGCAUUUACAUACAGACAUUUAAUGUGAAAAGUGAAAAUGAUGUAUGGUUCCUGAUAGCAAUUCUGUUUCUCAAGAUUUUGUGGGCACAAUAUAGGAGUUGUGAUUGAUGAUAAAAAGGAUGUGUGACGUUUUCUUCUCUACAUAUAAGAAUAGAUAUUAAGAUAUUUACUAUUCUAAUCCCAUUAGGCCAAUACCCUUUUUUCCAACAUUUUGUUUGAUUCUCACUAUUCUGACCUGCAGGGCUUAUGGAUGAAUAUAGCCAAGGAUCAAUUAUUUUGUUUACUUGGACCCAAUGGAGCUGGGAAAACUACAGCAAUCAAUUGUUUGACAGGAGUAGCACCAGUGACCAGUGGAGAUGGUAAUGAUCUAAGUUAAUAUUCAUUUUUGGUCAGUCUAAGAAAAAUUUAAAGUACUAAACAUUCAACUUUAAAAUAAUGUAUGUUCCUACCCUUUUGACAGCAUUGAUUUAUGGGUAUUCAAUUCGAAGUUCUGUUGGCAUGUCAAACAUUCGCAAAUUUAUGGGAGUUUGCCCCCAGGUGAACUCUCUUUUCUUACUGCUUGUGCAUCAUGCCUAUAUUAUUUUCCGUGUGGAAAGUGUAUCUGCCUUGCCUGCCUACAUUUGCGGUGAAGCAUAUUUUCUACUUCUUUGAUCAGAUGUCUAUUAUUCUGCAAUUCAAGCACAGUUAAGAAUAUAUUCUGAAGCUUAAGGUUUCGUGUUUAUGCAGUUUGACAUCCUUUGGGAUGCAUUAUCCGGUCAGGAACACCUUCACCUGUUUGCUACCAUUAAGGGCAUACCACCAACAUCAGUUAAAAUGGUAUGUCUGUCUUUCUAGUCCAAUUCUUUUUCAUCGGGAGUGAUUGUUUUCAGAAGCAUUGUCCUUGCGUUAGAUCCUCGUUAGAUGACCUCACUGUGUUAGAGUGGCUCUUCUGAAAAUCCUUUAUGUUAACUCAGGUUGUCGAGGAACUACUAGGGAAGGUGAAACUUACUGAUGCAGCUAGCGUAAGAGCCAGGAGCUAUAGUGGAGGAAUGAAGCGUCGGCUCAGUGUAGCGAUAGCCCUCAUUGGUGACCCAAAGAUUGUCGUUUUGGAUGAACCCGUAUGGAAAUUCAGUCUAUUUCAAACUGUAGAUCGCUGUUCCCAAAGUACUAGUUCGUUAACGUUUCUAUAUUCUUUACUUGCAAUUUUUUGAACUACAGACCACAGGCAUGGAUCCUAUAUCUAGAAGGCAAGUAUGGGAUGUAAUACAAGAAGCUAAAAGAGGGCGGGCAAUUAUCUUGACUACACAUUCGAUGGAAGAAGCUGAUGUCUUAGGGGAUCGAAUCUCAAUCAUGGCCAAGGGUAGGCUUAGAUGCAUUGGAACUUCCAUCAGGCUGAAGUCGAGAUUUGGGACUGGUUUUGUUACAAACGUUAGCUUUGGUGAAAUGGCUGGUGGUCAUAGUCCUAUAAAUCAACCUGUAGAUAGUUCUGCUCGUCAUGAGGCAGUGAAACAGUUUUUCAAACAGGUAUGCCUAAUUAAUCAACACAACAGACCAGGCUUACCCAACUUUCUGCUCAGCUUUCUGACUUGUUGUUUUGGUUCGAACAGCAUUUGGAUGCCACGCCAACAGAGGAGACCAAGUCCUUUAUGACUUUUGUCAUUCCUCAUGACAGGGAGAAGCUUCUCACAGUAAGCAGUCUCUUGUCAUCUCCUAAUUUUUAACCGACUUGCUUGUUUCAACUUGGUAGGCUUGGAAUUGAGCCCAUCUGGUAUAUGCAUAAAAGUGUUUUAGACAUAGCAGAUCCAGAUAGAUAAAAGUGUUGGGAUGUCAAAGAUGCAUGAUUUUCUUUAUAAUGUGUUCAGUAAGAACCAGAUCUAGAUGGAAAUUUUCUUGUCAAUCUUGAAAAAUACUCCUCUUCUCUUUUUAGACAUAUCAGACAUGUUUAUGUGUAUGAUGGACUAUUUUUGGCUGACCAUCUCAGUUAAAUUUGGUUGUAUUUGUUUUCUUGCUCCUCCCUGACACUUCAAAAUCCUUCUUUAGAGCGUUUUUGCUGAACUUGAAGAUAGACAAACAGAGUUGGGAAUAAGUGAUAUUCAGCUCGGUCUGGCAACUCUAGAAGAAGUGUUCUUAAAUAUUGCAAGGCAAGCGGAAGUGGAGAGUGCCACAGCUGAGGGGCGUUUUGUUACUCUAAAUUUAACUUCUGGAAACUCACUUGAGGUUAGUAUCGUAGCAAACUACUUAACUAAGCAAGGGAAACCAUAAUUUUUUGUGACAUACUCCUGCUAUGAUACUGCAGAUACCAGUAGGAAUCAGCCUGGUCGGAAUCCCAGGUACAGAAUCCAGUGAAAACCCUAGAGGCCUCAUGGUUAAAGUGUUCUGGGAGCAAGACGACACAGGUGCCCUUUGUGUAUCAGGGCAUUCACCUGAAGUGCCUAUACCUCCUGAGGUCCAGCCAUCAAUGCCUGCAGUUGCAGCCUCAGGAAGCAACUUGUUAGGUAGGAGAGGGCCAGUUUACGGACUUAUUAUCGAUCCCAGUCAGAUUCGCUCAGCUGAUCCAAUAUGAUAUUACACUGGUAGUUCUUGAUUUGUCCAUACCCUCCAGUCAAUCUUCUAGUUGCAGUUGCAGUUGCAGAGUAAUUCUUUUCUGGUGAUAUUAUUUUGUCCACGUAGAUAAAGGAGGUAUACAUGUGACAUGGAAUUAGUAUAGGAGGGCGUCAUUAGAGAAAGACAGGGCUGUAUUAUAGAGAAAGAAGAUGGUUACCACACCACUUGUUUGUUUUUGUUGGCCUGUUAGGCGUCAGAUAUAUACUUUUUUUCAAAGGUACUUGUUCCUAUGUUUACAUUGCAACUGUGAGUUUGUAACGUAUUUUUUUUUAUGAAGUUUGCAACGUAUUCAAUUAUAAUGGAUCGUGAAGGUUUUGGGUUACAUUAUUUUCCUGGUGUGGCAGCGGAGACAUGUCGAGCAAUUCAAUAUGGGUAUGAUCAAGGUCGAUUUAUUAUUGGAGUAGAUGAUAUGUUGUAAGAUUUUUGCUUGAAUUCAAUUACAAACUUAUCUUGUAUAGUUUUUUCAGAUAUAAAUCUGAUUGUCAUGUGGCAAAAGCUGAUUGUAGUGACGGAUGUGGGGCAUCUUCUACUUCACCGCCUAGCCCAUUUUCAUAUCUAAAACUUAAAUAUUAGGCAAUUUUUAUUAUAUUUAUAGGUUGUUUAGUAUAUUUUGUAUAUGUAACUUAAUAAAUUUUAACUCAUUUAUGAUCCAACCUAGUGUAUUAAACCAUCUUAAAUUUGAUGUUAGUUAAAUGAUAAUUUGAAGUCAUUGACUUCCCUUAGGCAAAAUCUUGGCGUAUAAUAAUAAAGGAAUAUGAUUAUAGGUCUUUUUUGUCAUAGAUAGCUCUCGACCGGAAUAAUCUAGACAGCAAGUAACAAGCAAAUAUAAUUUAAGAAUCAACCCAGGCUAUAAGAUCAAUCUUAAAACAGUAUGAGAGAUAUUAAAGAGCCUUUUACUCACUACUAAGUGGACAGCUCCAUUAGCAGACCGUUGAACAACCUGCAUAUGGAGCCGAGGACAAGGAGUCAGGGAGGCAGUGACUGUGAAGUGAUGGCAUUGCUAGGCUUGGCAUCGGAUCGGGGUUCGGCCGAAUACCCUAUAUCUGAAAUCCGCUAAUUUUCCCCGGCGAUUAUCCCCGGAUCCGCCCCGUGAACGGUUUCGGAGUUCAAAUCUAUCCCACCCCGUGGCCGGCGAGUAUCGGACAUCCAACGGGUCAGGACAAUAUCCCCGAAUGCUGAAGCUCUUAAGCUCCGACGGGUCAACCUUUGCCUCUGAAGCUCUGAACGUUUCCUGCACCAACAAUCAAUAAUACAACAAUCAACAGAUUAGAUGAUAACACAAUUACGCAUGUCUGGAAAAUUAGAAUUAUGGAAAUCAAAACUUCAAGUUAAAGGCUUAUAGCAGCAGACUUAUAAAAUUUUCUUUUCAAGACUUCGACAGUAUGAUCGAUUACUCGAUUUUGUAUCAAAUAUCAAACCGAAAAAGAUGAAAGGAUGAGAAAAGAUUAGAGUAGGUAUCAUUGAGAUAUUUAUACUAAACGAAAGCUAUAAAAAAAAAGAAAAGCAAAAAGCUUAACCUGGAGAUUUGAAUUGGCAUCGGGAAUGGCUGAAAACUGCAGAACCGAAGGGUUUCUUGGAGAUACGACGUUGGAUAUUGCCUAAACUAUGAAAGAUUUUGAUGAUUCUCGCCAAUUUUCACUCCAAUCGAGCGAAAAUAAUGAGGACCGAGAGGUUAGGAUUUCGUGCAUGCGCCGUUGGGGGUUUCGAAAUCGGAAAAAGGAAG